rnacentral:rRNA from 1 species
GACGAACGCUGGCGGCGUGCUUAACACAUGCAAGUCGAACGGUAAGGCCCUUCGGGGUACACGAGUGGCGAACGGGUGAGUAACACGUGGGUGAUCUGCCCUGCACUUCGGGAUAAGCCUGGGAAACUGGGUCUAAUACCGGAUAGGACCACUGCCUGCAUGGGUGGUGGUGGAAAGCUUUUGCGGUGUGGGAUGGGCCCGCGGCCUAUCAGCUUGUUGGUGGGGUGAUGGCCUACCAAGGCGACGACGGGUAGCCGGCCUGAGAGGGUGACCGGCCACAGUGGGACUGAGAUACGGCCCAGACUCCUACGGGAGGAAGCAGUGGGGAAUAGUGCACAAUGGGCGCAAGCCUGAUGCAGCGACGCCGCGUGAGGGAUGACGGCCUUCGGGUUGUAAACCUCUUUCAGCACCGACGAAGCGCAAGUGACGGUAGGUGCAGAAGAAGGACCGGCCAACUACGUGCCAGCAGCCGCCGUAA